rnacentral:rRNA from 1 species
CUACGGGUGGCAGCAGUGGGGAAUAUUGGACAAUGGGGGAAACCCUGAUCCAGCAAUGCCGCGUGUGUGAAGAAGGCCUGCGGGUUGUAAAGCACUUUCGGUUGGGAGGACUGCUUCUAGCACUAAUAUUGUUGGAAGUUGACGUUACCUUCAGAAGAAGCACCGGCUAACUCCGUGCCAGCAGUCGCGGUAAUACGGAGGGGUGCAAGCGUUAAUCGGAAUUACGGGGCGUAAAGCGCGCGUAGGCGGCUAGAUCAGUCGGGUGUGAAAGCCCCGGGCUUAACCUGGGAACUGCAUCCGAUACUGUCUAGCUUGAGUACAGGAGAGGAGAGUGGAAUUCCACAUGUAGCGGUGAAAUGCGUAGAUAUGUGGAGGAACACCAAUGGCGAAGGCAGCUCUCUGGCCUGAUACUGACGCUGAGGUGCGAAAGCGUGGGGAGCAAACAGGAUUAGAUACCCUCGUAGUC